rnacentral:rRNA from 1 species
CCUACGGGUGGCAGCAGUGGGGAAUAUUGCACAAUGGGGGAAACCCUGAUGCAGCGACGCCGCGUGAGUGAAGAAGUAUUUCGGUACGUAAAGCUCUAUCAGCAGGGAAGAAAAUGACGGUACCUGACUAAGAAGCCACGGCUAACUCCGUGCCAGCAGCCGCGGUAAUACGUAGGGAGCAAGCGUUAUCCGGAUUUACUGGGUGUAAAGGGAGCGUAGAGGGCAGAGCAAGUCUGGAGUGAAAUCCCAUGGCUUAACCAUGGAACUGCUUUUGAAACUGUGCAGCUAGAGUGCAGGAGAGGUAAGCGGAAUUCCUAGUGUAGCGGUGAAAUGCGUAGAUAUUAGGAGGAACACCAGUGGCGAAGGCAGCUUACUGGACUGUAACUGACGUUGAGGCUCGAAAGCGUGGGUAGCAAACAGGAUUAGAUACCCGUGUAGUC